CCCGGCCUGCACCACAGCCACAGCCACCCUCGUCUUUGACCUGCACCACAGCUCACAGCAACGCCAGAUCCUUAACCCACUGAGUGAGGCCAGGGAUCGAACCCGCAACCUCAUGGUUCCUCGUCGGAUUUGUUAACCCCUGAGCCACGACGGGAAUUCUGACACUGCUACUCGGAAAACAAAACCAAAGACACGCCAAAAAGCUUUGGAAUAUGCCUCAUUAACACAGACUCAAAAAUCCCUUUGAGAAAAAAAUUGCAAUUGCAAAUUGAAUGCAGCAGCGUCUAAAAAGGACAGUCUAUCAUGACCAAGUGGGGCUUAUCUCGGGAGUGAAAAGUUGGUUCAGCACCUUAAAAAAAAGAAAAAAUCAGUGUAUUUCACCCCAUCACCAGAGUCGAGGAGAAAAGCCAUGCGAUCGCCUCAUCUCGCAGCGCGGCACCUUUCACAGGAAAAGCUCCGCGAGGGCUAAAUGGGAUAAUACUUUCUUAAGCCAAACGAGGCGUGCGAAAUGACCCCCAGGUCAUGUGGUGACAGUGGUGCGAGGUCGAGCAGGUGCCCCUUGUAAGACAAAGGACAGAAAAACAACGAUAAAGACGCAGACCUCAGGAAGCCACCUGUCUGUAUCUGGAGAUCUGAGCGCGAGCGUGGUUCAUCGAAAUUGAUUUACCAACUACUCGAUUUAAUAACUUCAGCCAAGUUCACUGAUGCCUUAUUUCCAGACUUAAUAGGAAGCUGCGGUAAUGAAGAGGGUGUGGAAUUAGUGAUCCAGGGAACAGGGCUGAGCCUGGAAAGAGCCCCCCCGCCUCCUCCCCCACGGGCGGGGCCCCUGAGUCACGGCCGGGACAACCGCCAGCCAGCCCGCAAAGGCUGGGCUUCUCGACCACGGUUCCAGACCAGCCGGAUGCUCCUGAGAAGGCAGGAACCCCUCACAGCACACCUGACACUAACGGGCGGCGGGGCCUGUCUCCAAACACGAAAGCUGAGCUGUCAGGUUUCUAGAACAUCCUUGCGUCUGGGUGAGCAAAGCUGUCUGCAGGGAAGCACAAGGCCCAAGCCUGAGAGCGCGAGCCGCGCGGUCAGACACGGGCAAACUCGUGCUCGUCGGGACAAAAACCCGCAGGCAAGCCCGCAACCCGGGCCCCGAGCUCUGUCACACGUGCGUCUGCCCCAGGCCGUACCCGGGAUAGAGAAAGGGUGCCCAGGUCACUGAGGCGAAGGCAAAGCGCCCCAUUUAGAAACGGGCAGAAAGGCAACACCUGGGCAGAAAGGCAACGCUUGGGCAGAAAGGCUUGGAAGGAGCCUGGAGUCGCCCGGCUGCCCGACGGUCCAAGGCAAAACCACCUGCAACCAACACGGCUUCUCAGACCCAUCACCAGGGGAGCCCACCGGACACCCCCAACCCGAAAGGGGGACAGGCCGCGACACAGACACAUCCCCACUUACCGCAGCUCCGGGACGCCUGGCGGGCAGGGAGCCAUCAAGACGGAGGCGACUCCGGACCGUCCCCAGGCCCAGCCGGGCUUGACCUCCGCGAGCUCCCGCAGCUCCCGCAGCCCGUCGCGUGGAGCGCUGGGCGGGAACCGCUUCCUGUGGGGGAGGGAGGGACGUGGCCGGAAUCCUUAACUAGACUCAGGCCAGGGGAAACUAGUUAACCUGAGCCUAACCAGAGCCACCUGACCCGGGGAGAACUGGGCGAGUGAUUUAAAGAGACACAGGAAUCAAAGAGGCCACCGCAGGGUCCGCACGGCGCCGAGGAGGCGGUGACCUCCGCGCUUAGGAAAACCCAGUGAGACCUGCGGAGCCAGCGCUGGUGGGGACAGUAACCUGAGGAUGACACCCAGGGUCACUGGCACCUGGAGGGACCAGAGACCCGCUGUCCACAGGGGAACAGGGGCCCAGCCACUUUGAACGCUGUUGGUUGGCAUCAGCUGCAGCGGGUCUGGGUGCCCUUGACUCGCGUGUCUGUCCCCCGCGUCCCCCCUAGAAACACACACUCGUCUCCAAAAGUCGCGAGCAAGAACGCCCGCCGCCCUCUUCCCGAAGCCCAGCCCCACCCUAGGGCCCCCCAUCACGGACGGGGGGUGGGGUCAAGUCAUGAGCCGCCCACCCCGUCGUUCACGUAGUGACCACAGGGGGACAGGAGCUCCUCGUGCCCACGACGCGGUGACGGGCGCGCUAAUCCGCCCCGGACCUCACCUGGCCGCGUGUGCACCUCGCGCUCGUGCGGCGUGAUGUGUCGGGUGUACCCCAGCCAAGCGGGCGAGACCGGGAGAGCUGCUGCCUCUCGGGGCGGAGGUGGAGGCUGCCUUAGAAGGGACGGAGAGAAGCUUCCGGAACAAUGGCCGAGCUCUGUAGUCCUGAGGGGGUUGGGUCCACAAGCGUGUGCCCUGGUCUCUUCGGAGGUGUAGGUUCAUUUGUAAACUUUACUUACGGAGAAGGCAAGUGUGGACACAGAGGGACGUCUGCUCCCACGGGGGAGGCCGCGCCGUCUGGGGAGAAGGGUGUCGACACCUGCCAUGGGCCCCGGACGCCCCGAGCACGAAGCCGGCUGAUGGAAUGACACACGUUUGAGACCAAACAGAGUAAGGCGUCGAUGGCAGGGUGGAGGCGAUGCCUGCAGGUGUUUACUGUGAAAGUCUCUCGUCUCCGCAGUAAAAAGCCGGGCAGAGGGACCCGCGUGUGGCAACGUGGUGGGCGGUGCCACAGACGCGACGCUGGGGGGAAGACGUCAGGCCCCCAAGGACACGCGCUGUCGGAUUGUGUUUCCGUCAAAUCCGGAAACGGGCCGGUCCUCUCCAGCGGGGGGUGGGGACCACCGCACGGAGGGGCGGGGGCGUGAUGGUUUCCGGUGUUUCGGAAGCGUUUCGUGUUGAGUGUUGGAAACCGGAGAAUGCACUGGGCGGCGCCCUAGGACGUGUGCGUCUUUACUCCGCGUGUUAGGUUUCGGUACGAAUGUAUCUUCUAAAAACUCCUGGGGAACCAGGGCUGGAGGGAGCUUCCUCGCCCUGAAGAGGCUCUGCCGGCAAUGCGCUCCCCACUCGGGAUCGGGAGGCGGCGGGAGGGCUCGCUUUUUAGGAAACCACCGUCAAGGUCAUUGCGGGCACGGAGAAGCCCCCUCAGGUCCCCCCCCGGGCCCCGCCUGUGCCGUGCGUGCCCUUCAGACACUCGGACCGUUUGGCAUCCAUCCUGGGACAGACGCGGUGACCGAGGAAACGGGACAAAGCCCAGCAGCGGAGCGACGGGUUCAGGGACCCCUGAUUGAUGACGGCGCGGGCGGCGGGAGACCGCGUGGGAGGAGGAGCCCAUUUAACAAAUGCUGCCGAGACAAUUAGUUGUUCAUGUGGAAAAAAUGAAAUUGGAUUUCUGUCUCACGCCAUAAAUAAAAAUCACUUGCAGGAGACAGGGUGGGGAUUAUCUCGGCGACCCCGCGGGGGCGGGAAGAUUUGCGUAAACCAGACGCCAAAGCGCCGGCCAUGAAAGGAGAGAUGGAUAAAUGGAAGCACGUUGACAUCGAGAACUUUGUUUAUCGAAAAGUAGCACAAAGAGGGUGCAAACGCAAAGUGCCAAGUGGGGGGAGAUGCUUCCGUGUGCAAACCAGCAAAGAGAGGGCGUCGGAUACAAUCUCACCAGCGCAAGAGCCACGACCCCUAGACGAACCGGUAGUAGGUGCAACAAGCGUCUCUCGAAUGC
rnacentral:lncRNA from 1 species